CCGCGGGAAUUAUACAUGUUCUAAUACGCGUUAGCUCGCUUUCAUUAUGUAACGUCAUAUCCGAAAUCUUUUGGCGGGAAGCUGCUCGCGAGGGUAAAAAAGGAAUAUCCAAAAUGGCAAAUACCAUGGUAUUUGAGGCAAAUUCACCGGCAGUGGUGAAAAACAGGCAAAUUCGUUUGAAAUGAGGAAAACAUAUUAGAAUAUGCGAAAAAUGCACUGGCUAUCAACCAAUCAAAAUCUUGCUUUCUUAUAUAAGGUGUAAUUAUGUCAAA
rnacentral:lncRNA from 1 species